rnacentral:rRNA from 1 species
UACGGAGGGUGCAAGCGUUGUCCGGAAUCACUGGGCGUAAAGGGCGCGUAGGCGGCCUGGUAAGUCGGGGGUGAAAUCCUGCGGCUUAACCGCAGGGCUGCCUUCUAAACUGUCAGGCUUGAGCACGGUAGAGGCAGAUGGAAUUCCCGGUGUAGCGGUGGAAUGCGUAGAGAUCGGGAAGAACAUCAGUGGCGAAGGCGGUCUGCUGGGCCGUUGCUGACGCUGAGGAGCGAAAGCUAGGGGAGCAAACGGG